GAUGAAGAACGCAGCGAAAUGCGAUAAGUAAUGUGAAUUGCAGAAUUCAGUGAAUCAUCGAAUCUUUGAACGCACAUUGCGCCCCCCAGUAUUCUGGCGGGCAUGCCUGUUCGAGCGUCAUUUCAACCAUCAAGCCCUGCUUGUGUUGGGGUCCUGCGGCUGCCCGCAGGCCCUGAAAACCAGUGGCGGGCUCGCUAGUCACACCGAGCGCAGUAGCACAUCUCGCUCAGGGCGUGCGGCGGGCUCCAGCCGUUAAAGCACCCACAUUUCGCAAGGUUGACCUCGGAUCAGGUAGGAAUACCCGCUGAACUUAAGCAUAUCAAUAAGCGGAGGA
rnacentral:misc_RNA from 1 species